UGGUGGGCACAGAAUCCGGCCUCU
rnacentral:miRNA from 1 species